GUGUGAUUUAUGAAACCACAGAAUGAGUUUUAUUUCAUCUUAAUUACUGAAUAUUCUGUGAACAUGGCAUUACUGUUUUAUAAAAUACAUCGAAUAUGUACAUUGUACACAUCAUGAUAAGAAAUUUGUUUGGUUCGUUUCCUGGUACCUUAUUUUUUAAGUGUGCGACCUGUGACACAUAAAACGAACUAGUCAAAAGAAUGUUUCACAUUUUGGAAGUAAGCACAUCGCAACACCUAGGGGC